CGCCUUGCUUCUCCCGCCAGCCCAGACCUCCUCCCGGGUUCCCUCCGCUGUGGCGUUCCUCUCUGCAGCCCAUGGCACACCGCUCCCUAGCCAGUCAGGCUGUCUCCACACAGCCAACCCUCGUCCUCUCCCUGGAAUUUACCUCCGGAGCCUGAGCCUCAGCGCCCAGCCACCCCGCAAGCAUCUCAGGCUGCGGUGUCCAGGCACCUCCCCCUUGGACUGGCUUCUCUCUUAUCACACUACAGGACUAUGUGGUGGAGAACUGAAACCUCUUAUCAACAUCCAUUUAUUGUUUCCUGCUGAAAGGCAGUGUUCUCUCUGAGGUCCAAAGACUGACAUUUCUGUGGACUUAAUCUACAUGUCCAAGGACACUUCAAAGGUUAAAUAUGUUGAAAACUAAGACUUACAGUUGAGUCUCUGAUGAGACUGCAGCCCCUGCUGAUACCUGGAUUGCAGCUUGGUUAAGAGCCUGAACAAAGGACCCAGGUGAGCUGUGCUCCAACUCCUGACCCAUGGAAACUGUGAGAUAAUAAAUGUGUAUUGUUUUAAGAUGCUAAAUUUAUGGUAAUUUGUUAUAUAGAAAUAGAGAAUGAACACAGGCCUCAAUGCUUAAAAAAUAAAAUGCUACUUAAAAGAUUUUGUAAAAAAUAUUUACCUAAUAUAGUAUUGAA